rnacentral:rRNA from 1 species
UACGUAUGGAGCAAGCGUUAUCCGGAUUUACUGGGUGUAAAGGGAGCGUAGGCGGCGGAGCAAGUCUGAUGUGAAAGCCCGGGGCUCAACCCCGGUCGUGCAUUGGAAACUGUUUGGCUAGAGUGUCGGAGGGGUAAGCGGAAUUCCUAGUGUAGCGGUGAAAUGCGUAGAUAUUAGGAAGAACACCGGAGGCGAAGGCGGCUUACUGGACGAUUACUGACGCUGAGGCUCGAAAGCGUGGGGAGCGAACAGG